UCCUGCCCCUGCUCCUGGUGACUGACCAGGAGCAUAUACACCCAAGGUGCAAUUACAACACAAAAUCAAAUAGGAAGCUACCUGCGAAAAGGAAUUUCUUGAGAAUGGGUGAUAAGGCGGAUUGGGGUGAUACUUUUUUAAGGCAUUUGAUUGAUGCUUGCAAAGAAGAGAUUGAAGCAGGGAAUAGGCUGAUGGCAAUUUUCACUACUACCGGUUGGAAGAACGGUUGUUUCCAAGUUUGCAGAAAAAUCCGGUGAUAGAACAAAAAAAAUAAUUGAAGAACAAGUUAGAUCUUCUAAAAAAGGAGUAUGUCACGUUUAUGGAGUUCAAGAAUUGUGCAAUUGGUCUUGGAUGGGAUGAGGCAAAACAAACUGUUGACUCCUCAGACGAAUGGUGGGACGAACACCUUGCUGUAAGAACUAUGUUUCUUGAUAAUUAUAUUCUUCCCAUUCUUUGUACAAAGCUGAAUACAGGGAAACGUCAGAAACUGGAAUUCAA